AGGCCAAUACUGAUUACCAAAAGGAACCAUAAGAUGGUGUCCUAAUCGUUCAGAGUUUUUGAGAAAAAGAAGUGGCGGUGCCUCGGAUAUCACUUUAGGCUAUUUGCUUUCUCAAUGCUAAUACAAGUUCUUUGAAAUAUAUGACAAACUCUUCUCUUGAAUUUCUUUUUACUUACAAAUAGAAUUGCACUCUUUAAGUAAGUCAUAGAAAAUAAUACAAUCAUUUAAUAAGUCCCGUCUUUACAAAAUUAUAUCUUUUCAAAUAUCCUAUCACUGCAUAAUCUAGAAAGUCACAAGAAUGAGAAUGAAGCUAGUAUCACUGAAUCAACUAGAUCAUUGAUUGCAUUGAUAAAGAAUAGCUCUGGAAAAUGAGAAUAAAGAUACACUGUCAUUGG